CAAGUCGAACGCGAAAGUCCCGCAAGGGAUCAGUAGAGUGGCAAACGGGUGAGUAACGCGUGGGUGACCUGCCUUCGAGCGGGGGAUAACGUUCCGAAAGGGACGCUAAUACCGCAUAACAUCCCGCCUUUUAAGAGGUGGCGAUCAAAGCCUGGGACCGCAAGGCCAGGUGCUUGAAGAGGGGCCCGCGUCUGAUUAGCUAGUUGGUGGGGUAAUGGCUCACCAAGGCUUCGAUCAGUAUCCGGCCUGAGAGGGCGGACGGACACACUGGGACUGAGACACGGCCCAGACUCCUACGGGAGGCAGCAGUGGGGAAUUGUUCGCAAUGGGCGCAAGCCUGACGACGCAACGCCGCGUGGAGGAUGAAGAUCUUCGGGUCGUAAACUCCUUUCGAUCGAGACGAAUGGCUUCCGGGUGAAUAAUCCGGGAGAGUGACGGUACCGAGAGAAGAAGCCCCGGCUAACUCCGUGCCAGCAGCCGCGGUAAUACGGGGGGGGCAAGCGUUGUUCGGAAUUACUGGGCGUAAAGGGCUCGUANGUGGCCAACUAAGUCAGACGUGAAAUCCCUCGGCUUAACCGGGGAACUGCGUCUGAUACUGGUUGGCUUGAGUUUGGGAGAGGGACGCGGAAUUCCAGGUGUAGCGGUGAAAUGCGUAGAUUUCUGGAGGAACACCGGUUGGCGAAGGCGGCGUCCUGGACCAACACUGACACUGAUGAGCGAAAGCCAGGGGAGCAAACGGGAUUAGAUACCCCGGGUAGUCCUGGCCCUAAACGAUGAAUGCUUGGUGUGGCGGGUAUCGAUUCCCUGCCGUGCCGAA
rnacentral:rRNA from 1 species